rnacentral:rRNA from 1 species
UACGAAGGGUGCAAGCGUUACUCGGAAUUACUGGGCGUAAAGCGUGCGCAGGCGGUUCGUUGUGUCUGUGGUGAAAGCCCCGGGCUUAACCUGGGAAUGGCCAUGGAAACUGGCGAGCUGGAGUGUGGCAGAGGGGGGUGGAAUUCCGCGUGUAGCAGUGAAAUGCGUAGAGAUGCGGAGGAACACCGAUGGCGAAGGCAAUCCCCUGGGCCUGCACUGACGCUCAUGCACGAAAGCGUGGGGAGCAAACAGG